GAUGAACGCUAGCUACAGGCUUAACACAUGCAAGUCGAGGGGCAGCACAGUGUAGCAAUACACGGGUGGCGACCGGCGCACGGGUGCGUAACGCGUAUCCAACCUUCCCGUUACUCUUGGAUAGCCUUCCGAAAGGGAGAUUAAUACAAGAUGGUAUUCAAAUUCCGCAUGUUAUUUGAAUUAAAGAUUUAUCGGUAACGGAUGGGGAUGCGUGACAUUAGAUAGUAGGCGGGGUAACGGCCCACCUAGUCCACGAUGUCUGGGGGUUCUGAGAGGAAGGUCCCCCACACUGGAACUGAGACACGGUCCAGACUCCUACGGGAGGCAGCAGUGAGGAAUAUUGGUCAAUGGUCGGAAGACUGAACCAGCCAAGUAGCGUGAAGGAUGAAGGUUCUAUGGAUUGUAAACUUCUUUUAUGCGGGAAUAAAACCUCCCACGUGUGGGAGCUUGUAUGUACCGUAUGAAUAAGCAUCGGCUAACUCCGUGCCAGCCGCCGCGGUAAGAC
rnacentral:rRNA from 1 species